rnacentral:rRNA from 1 species
CCUACGGGAGGCUGCAGUAGGGAAUCUUCCACAAUGGGCGAAAGCCUGAUGGAGCAACGCCGCGUGGGUGAAGAAGGUCUUCGGAUCGUAAAACCCUGUUGUUAGAGAAGAAAGGGCGUGAGAGUAACUGUUCACGUGUCGACGGUAUCGAACCAGAAAGCCACGGCUAACUACGUGCCAGCAGCCGCGGUAAUACGUAGGUGGCAAGCGUUAUCCGGAUUUAUUGGGCGUAAAGGGAACGCAGGCGGUCUUUUAAGUCUGAGGUGAAAGCCUUCGGCUUAACCGGAGUAGUGCAUUGGAAACUUUGAGCCUUGAGUGCAGAAUCGGAGAGUGGCACUCCAUGUGUAGCGG